UUCAGAGGGAAGAAUAGAACAGAAUUUCCCAGCCUAGAACAUAAACAUGCUGUCAGAUGCCUGGAAAUCCUGCUUGGCUGUCAAAGACCAGUUCACUUGCCUGCUCUUCUAUGAGGUUCCUGAACCGGCUAAGCAAAACAAGUCUGUCUCAUCCUUUCUUUCUGGGACCUCUGAGAGGGUCUGGAAUUAGGGUUCAGGUACCAUCCAUCUGUUACGUGCUUUGAAGAUGCCACUCCAUCUGUGGGAUUCAAUUUACAUAAACUGAAGACUAUUCUUCUGAGUUGAAGUGAGGAGAGGCAUCAAUCACACUGGAAAAUUAUUUGAUCUCCUGGAAGCAAAAAGUCCACCAUGAAGUUGUUCUUGCCAUGGACUUCUAGAGGAGCUGACUGUCCUUUGGGAAGCUACAAAUACAGCCUUAAAAUCUGUUAGCAGGGAAGAGAGGCUUUUUCUGAGUGAUCAG
rnacentral:lncRNA from 1 species